rnacentral:rRNA from 1 species
UUGAACGCUGGCGGCAGGCUUAACACAUGCAAGUCGAGCGGGGGAAGGUAGCUUGCUACCGGACCUAGCGGCGGACGGGUGAGUAAUGCUUAGGAAUCUGCCUAUUAGUGGGGGACGACAUCUCGAAAGGGAUGCUAAUACCGCAUACGUCCUACGGGAGAAAGCAGGGGAUCUUCGGACCUUGCGCUAAUAGAUGAGCCUAAGUCGGAUUAGCUAGUUGGUGGGGUAAAGGCCUACCAAGGCGACGAUCUGUAGCGGGUCUGAGAGGAUGAUCCGCCACACUGGGACUGAGACACGGCCCAGACUCCUACGGGAGGCAGCAGUGGGGAAUAUUGGACAAUGGGGGGAACCCUGAUCCAGCCAUGCCGCGUGUGUGAAGAAGGCCUUAUGGUUGUAAAGCACUUUAAGCGAGGAGGAGGCUACUUUAGUUAAUACCUAGAGAUAGUGGACGUUACUCGCAGAAUAAGCACCGGCUAACUCUGUGCCAGCAGCCGCGGUAAUACAGAGGGUGCGAGCGUUAAUCGGAUUUACUGGGCGUAAAGCGUGCGUAGGCGGCUUAU